rnacentral:misc_RNA from 1 species
AUUGAACAACAAAUGUUGGGGUUCACCCAAAAUCCUCCUAGGAACCAUCACCACAUAUUGCAAAAUCAGCACCAAAAUCUAAAAUCAGAUGUACAGCAACCUUCCUUUUAUCUGUAAUAAUGAACUUGGAGAAACAUAAGGGCAACCCUUAUCCCAAAACUAGUGUAUUUCUGCGACAAUAUACUCGUAUUGACUCUCACAAAACAUCAAAUUGCAGAUAUAAGCCAGGUUCUAUAGCAAAAUAAGUGAGAAUAUGCAGCAGCUCGUUGCACUUGAGGAAAAUCUGAUAUAUGAAAACUUUGUUCUUACUUCUUAGACCAUUUGGUUUUCACAUUGCUGGUUAAGGUCAAGUAUAGGGUGAUUCUACAUCGAUAAGGUCCCACUUAUCUUCAUCAGAUUUAUAACCCUCAUCCUUCAAAGUUUCUGGUGUAUCCCCUAGUAAAGCUUUUGGUUGAGGCCUUCUUUUGCGGUUUCGUCUGGCAGCAUCACGACACUUCCUUUUCUUCUUUUCUUGAGUAGAUUCAAAAAAUCUUCGGCGUUUACUCUCUUGGAUAACUCCAGCUCUGAACACCUCUCUGCGGAAGCGGCCAAUGAGUUUCUCUUCCGGCUCGUGUUCCCCAGCUACAACCUGAACAUUAUAUGCUGAUUUAAAGAAGAGAAUAUUGGAAAAUGGAAGUGAAGGAAACAGAUGAGCGUAAUCAGAGCUGUGAUGGUCGAGUUUCAGAAUUGGAGUUACAGGUAACGAUGUAGACGAAACACAUAAAGGUACGGCACGAACAGUACUGAUUUGUGCAGUUUUUGGACGAAAAUUUGCAGUGUUCUGGUUGUUGGAAGAAGAAAGCAAAGGGUUGAAGAAGGAUGAUGACUGAAAAAGGGCCA